rnacentral:rRNA from 1 species
GACGAACGCUGGCGGCGUGCCUAAUACAUGCAAGUAGAACGCACAGUUUAUACCGUAGCUUGCUACACCAUAAACUGUGAGUUGCGAACGGGUGAGUAACGCGUAGGUAACCUGCCUGGUAGCGGGGGAUAACUAUUGGAAACGAUAGCUAAUACCGCAUAAUAUUGAUUAUUGCAUGAUAAUUGAUUGAAAGAUGCUAUUGCAUCACUACCAGAUGGACCUGCGUUGUAUUAGCUAGUAGGUGAGGUAACGGCUCACCUAGGCGACGAUACAUAGCCGACCUGAGAGGGUGAUCGGCCACACUGGGACUGAGACACGGCCCAGACUUCUACGGGAGGCAGCAGUAGGGAAUCUUCGGCAAUGGACGAAAGUCUGACCGAGCAACGCCGCGUGAGUGAAGAAGGUCUUCGGAUCGUAAA